GGUGAUCUCGUGUCUCCAAUUCCUCAUCACAGAACACACAACCAUGCCAAGCUUCAGAAUUCCAUUUGCGGAGUUUAUCACCCGUCGCAAGUCUGUUCUGAAAAGCAAGCCAAGUGAUGAACGAGAAUUUCGGAGUAGCAGAAGAGAACCAGACCCCCCGAUACCAAUCGCAGCUUGGGUUUAUGGUUCUUAUUUGCUGCCAAGUAGUU
rnacentral:sRNA from 1 species